rnacentral:rRNA from 1 species
CAAAGGUUAAUUCCGGUGGCGGAUGGGCAUGCGUCGCAUUAGUUAGUUGGCGGUGUAACGGACCACCAAGACGACGAUGCGUAGGGGUUCUGAGAGGAGGGUCCCCCACACUGGUACUGAGACACGGACCAGACUCCUACGGGAGGCAGCAGUGAGGAAUAUUGGUCAAUGGGCGGGAGCCUGAACCAGCCAAGUCGCGUGAGGGAUGACGGCCCUAUGGGUUGUAAACCUCUUUUGCCGGGGAGCAAAGUGCCGCACGUGUGCGGUUUGGAGAGUACCCGGAGAAAAAGCAUCGGCUAAUUCCGUGCCAGCAGCCGCGGUAAUACGGAGGAUGCGAGCGUUAUCCGGAUUUAUUGGGUUUAAAGGGUGCGUAGGCGGACGCUUAAGUCAGCGGUAAAAUUGCGGGGCUCAACCUCGUCGAGCCGUUGAAACUGGGUGCCUUGAGUGGGCGAGAAGUACGCGGAAUGCGUGGUGUAGCGGUGAAAUGCAUAGAUAUCACGCAGAACUCCGAUUGCGAAGGCAGCGUACCGGCGCCCAACUGACGCUGAAGCACGAAGGCGUGGGUAUCGAACAGGAUUAGAUACCCUGGUAGUCCACGCAGUAAACGAUGAAUGCUAGUUGUCCGGGGCGAUUGAGUUCUGG